rnacentral:rRNA from 1 species
ACCCGCUGAACUUAAGCAUAUCAAUAAGCGGAGGAAAAGAAACCAACAGGGAUUGCCUCAGUAACGGCGAGUGAAGCGGCAACAGCUCAAAUUUGAAAUCUGGCUCUUUUAGGGUCCGAGUUGUAAUUUGUAGAAGAUGCUUCGGGUGUGGCUCCGGUCUAAGUUCCUUGGAACAGGACGUCAUAGAGGGUGAGAAUCCCGUAUGUGACUGGCUGCCUUCGCCUAUGUGAAGCUCUUUCGACGAGUCGAGUUGUUUGGGAAUGCAGCUCAAAAUGGGUGGUAAAUUUCAUCUAAAGCUAAAUAUUGGCCAGAGACCGAUAGCGCACAAGUAGAGUGAUCGAAAGAUGAAAAGCACUUUGGAAAGAGAGUUAAACAGUACGUGAAAUUGUUGAAAGGGAAGCGCUUGCAACCAGACUUGCACGUGGUCGAUCAUCCGAGGUUCUCCUCGGUGCACUCGAUCUCGUUCAGGCCAGCAUCGGUUUAGGUGGCGGGAUAAAGGCCUUGGGAAUGUAGCUCCUCUCGGGGAGUGUUAUAGCCCUCGGUGCAAUGCCGCCUACCUGGACCGAGGACCGCGCUUCGGCUAGGAUGCUGGCGUAAUGGUUGUAAGCGACCCGUCUUGAAACACGG